rnacentral:rRNA from 1 species
UGCACAGUGGAUUAGUGGCGAACGGGGGGGUGAACACGUGAGUAACCUGCCCUCCACUUUGGGAUAACUCCGAGAAAUCGGGGCUAAUACUGGAUAUGACUAUGGCCCGCAUGGGUUGUGGUGGAAAGUUUUUCGGUGGGGGAUGGGCUCGCGGCCUAUCAGUUUGUUGGUGAGGUAGUGGCUCACCAAGGCGAUGACGGGUAGCCGGCCUGAGAGGGCGACCGGCCACACUGGGACUGAGACACGGCCCAGACUCCUACGGGAGGCAGCAGUGGGGAAUAUUGCACAAUGGGCGAAAGCCUGAUGCAGCGACGCCGCGUGGGGGAUGACGGCCUUCGGGUUGUAAACCUCUUUCAGCGAGGAAGAAGCGAAAGUGACGGUACUUGCAGAAGAAGCGCCGGCUAACUACGUGCCAGCAGCCGCGGUAAUACGUAGGGCGCAAGCGUUGUCCGGAAUUAUUGGGCGUAAAGGGCUUGUAGGUGGCUUGUCGCGUCUGCCGUGAAAACCCAGGGCUUAACUCUGGGCGUCGGUGGGUACGGGCAGGCUAGAGUGCGGUAGGGGAGACUGGAAUUCCUGGUGUAGCGGUGAAAUGCGCAGAUAUCAGGAGGAACACCGAUGGCGAAGGCAGGUCUCUGGGCCGUUACUGACACUGAGAAGCGAAAGCAUGGGGAGCGAACAGGAUUAGAUACCCUGGUAGUCCAUGCCGUAAACGUUGGGCACUAGGUGUGGGGAGCAUUCCACGUUUUCCGCGCCGUAGCUAACGCAUUAAGUGCCCCGCCUGGGGAGUACGCCGCAAGGCUA